rnacentral:rRNA from 1 species
AUAAUUUAAGGUCUGGCCUGCCCAAUGAGUAGUUAAAAUGGCCGCGGUAUUUUGACCGUGCAAAGGUAGCAUAAUCAUUAGUUUUUUAAUUGAAAGCUGGAAUGAAUGGUCGGACGAGAAAAUAACUGUCUCAGUAUAAUUUUGUUAGAAUUUUAUUUUUAAGUUAAAAAGCUUAAAUGCAUUUAAAAGACGAGAAGACCCUAUAGAGUUUUAUAUAUGUAUAUUUAUUGGUUUUAUAGUAUUUUGAUGCUGAUAUUUAGUAAUGUAUUUUGUUGGGGUGACAGAAAAAUUGGCUAAACUUUUUCUAAAAUUGAACAUUUAUUUAUGAUUGUUUGAUCCAUUAUUUAUGAUUAUAAGAUUAAAUUACCUUAGGGAUAACAGCGUAAUUUUUUUUGAGAGUUCUUAUCGAUAAAAGAGUUUGCGACCUCGAUGUUGGAUUAAAAUUAAUUUCUGGUGCAGAAGCUGGAAAAUUGGGUCUGUUCGACCCUUAAAAUUUUACAUGAUCUGAGUUUAAACCGGUGUGAGCCAGGUUGGUUUCUAUCUUUAAAUUAAACAAAUAUUUUAGUACGAAAGGACCAAAUAUUUAUAAUAUUUAUUUAGCUUAUGAAUGUUAAUAAUAGGUUACUUUGGCAGAUUAGUGCUUUAAAUUUAGAAUUUAAAUAUGUAUAUUAUACAAGUAAUACAUUUUAUUUAAGGAUUUAAUUAUAAUGUUAGUUUCAAGUUUAAUUUUAAUUAUUUGUGUUUUAGUUGGGGUAGCAUUUUUGACUUUAUUAGAGCGUAAGGUUUUAGGAUAUA